GCCUCGUUAAUGCAGUAGGUAGCGCGUCAGUCUCAUAAUCUGAAGGUCGUUAGUUCGAUCCUCAAAUGGGGCA
rnacentral:tRNA from 1 species